rnacentral:snRNA from 1 species
AUCUUUUCUUGGCUUUUUAGCUAAAAAAAAAAAAAAAUCUGUUCUUAUCAGUUUAAUAUCUGAUACGUCCCCUACCGGGGACCAUAUAUUAAAUUGAUUUUUGGAGCAGGGAGAUGGAAUAGGGGCUUGCUCCGUCCACUCCACGCAUCGACCUGGUAUUGCAGUAUUUCUAGGAACGGUGCACCCCCU